rnacentral:rRNA from 1 species
AAACGACUCUCGGCAACGGAUAUCUCGGCUCUCGCAUCGAUGAAGAACGUAGCGAAAUGCGAUACUUGGUGUGAAUUGCAGAAUCCCGUGAACCAUCGAGUCUUUGAACGCAAGUUGCGCCCGAAGCCCCUUGGGGUCAAGGGCACGUCUGCCUGGGUGUCACGC